rnacentral:rRNA from 1 species
UACGGAGGGUGCAAGCGUUAUCCGGAUUUACUGGGUUUAAAGGGUGCGUAGGUGGGCAUGUAAGUCAGUGGUGAAAUCUCCGGGCUUAACCCGGAAACUGCCGUUGAUACUAUGUGUCUUGAAUGCUUUGGAGGUAAGCGGAAUAUGUCAUGUAGCGGUGAAAUGCUUAGAUAUGACAUAGAACACCAAUUGCGAAGGCAGCUUACUACACAGUAAUUGACACUGAGGCACGAAAGCGUGGGGAUCAAACAGG